rnacentral:tRNA from 1 species
GCCUGGGUGGCUCAUUUGGUUAAGCAUCUGACUUUGGUUCACAUCAUGAUCUCACAGUUCGUGGGUUAGAGCCCCGCAUCAGGCU